GUUUGUGUGGCCUAUUGGAUAAGGCACUCACCUCAGAAGUGGGAGACUAUGGGUUUGAGUCCCAUUGUGAAAG
rnacentral:tRNA from 1 species